rnacentral:lncRNA from 1 species
AUUUCCUUUUUCCUAUUUUUGCUUCUUUUCAGGUUUUAUCAAUUUUACUGCUGAAUUACGAGGCUGUUAUCUGUUUUAAAAUAGGCUGUUCUUGGGUAACGCGUCAAGUACUGCAGUGUAAAUUUAUGACUUCGCACCCAAAAGAUUGCACCAUGCUUUUUAACCAUGCAUUUCAUCUAAUUUUAUUAUUUUUUUAAUCAAAAUUUACUAAAAUUUUGGUUUAUAUCUAAAA